rnacentral:rRNA from 1 species
GACGAACGCUGGCGGCGUGCUUAAUACAUGCAAGUCGAACGGAGUUAAGGGUUUCGGCCUUUAACUUAGUGGCGAACGGGUGAGUAACGCGUGAAUAACCUGACUCAAAGAGGGGGAUAACAACGGGAAACUGUUGCUAAUACCGCAUGAGACCACAACACCGCAUGAUGAAGGGGUCAAAGAUUUAUCGCUUUGAGAGGGGUUCGCGUCCCAUUAGGUAGUUGGAGGGGUAACGGCCCACCAAGCCAACGAUGGGUAGCCGAGCUGAGAGGCUGAUCGGCCACACUGGAACUGAGACACGGUCCAGACUCCUACGGGAGGCAGCAGUAGGGAAUAUUGGGCAAUGGGCGCAAGCCUGACCCAGCAACGCCGCGUGAGGGAAGAAGGUUUUCGGAUUGUAAACCUCUGUCCUAUGUGACGAAGGAAGUGACGGUAGCACAGGAGGAAGCCCCGGCUAACUACGUGCCAGCAGCCGCGGUAAUACGUAGGGGGCGAGCGUUGUCCGGAAUUACUGGGCGUAAAGGGUGCGUAGGCGGUUUGGUAAGUUGGAUGUGAAAUACCCGGGCUUAACUUGGGGGCUGCAUCCAAUACUGUCGGACUUGAGUGCAGGAGAGGAAAGCGGAAUUCCUAGUGUAGCGGUGAAAUGCGUAGAUAUUAGGAGGAACACCGGUGGCGAAGGCGGCUUUCUGGACUGUAACUGACGCUGAGGCACGAAAGCGCGGGGAGCAAACAGGAUUAGAUACCCUGGUAGUCCACGCCGUAAAC